GUGUUUUUACAGGUUCAGUGCUGGGUCCUCCUAUCUUAACGUACUGAUGUGUUUUUACAGGUUCAGUGCUGGGUCCUCCUAUCUUAACGUACUGAUGUGUUUUUACAGGUUCAGUGCUGGGUCCUCCUAUCUUAAUGUACUGAUGUGUUUUUACAGGUUCAGUGCUGGGUCCUCCUAUCUUAAUGUACUGAUGUGUUUUUACAGGUUCAGUGCUGGGUCCUCCUAUCUUAGCAUGUAGUGUAAAUGUUUUCACAGGUUCAAGACAUUGAGUUUGUCCAGAUCGAGAUGAAAGUCAUUGAGGGGCUGAAGGUUGGAAAUGACUGUCUGAAGAGUAUGCAUGAGGCCAUGUCACUAGAGGAUGUGGAGAGGAUCAUGGAUGAGACCCAGGAUGCUAUAGAAUACCAGAGGCAAAUAGAUGAGAUGCUGUCAGGCUCCCUGACUCAGGAGGAUGAGGAUGCUGUGCUAUCUGAGCUGGAGGCUAUCACUCAGGGAGAAGAUGUAGAACUUCCAGAGGUCCCCACUGAGCCUCUACCAGAGGUCCCAGAACCAGCUGAAACAGAGCCAGAGAGAAGACCAGCAAGGAACAAGGAGAACAGAGAGAUGCUGGCAGCGUAGAGACAAGACUUAACAAUAACAACAGUAGCUGGAGUUAGUCCAACUGACUCAAUAACAACAAUAUCAACAGUAGCUGUGGAUGGAGCUAGUCCAACUGACAACAAUAACAACAGUAGCUGUGGAUGGAGCUAGUCCAACUGACUCAACAACAACAAUAUCAACAGUAGCUGUGGAUGGAGCUAGUCCAACUGACUCAACAACAACAAUAACAACAGUAGCUGUGGAUGGAGCUAGUCCAACUGACUCAACAACAACAAUAACAACAGUAGCUGUGGAUGGAGUUAGUCCAACUGACUCAACAACAACAAUAUCAACAGUAGCUGUGGAUGGAGUUAGUCCAACUGACUCAAUAACAACAAUAUCAACAGUAGCUGUGGAUGGAGUUAGUCCAACUGACUCAACAACAACAAUAACAGCAGUAGCUGUGGAUGGAGCUAGUCCAACUGACAACAAUAACAGUAGCUGUGGAUGGAGUUAGUCCAACUGACUCAACAACAACAAUAUCAACAGUAGCUGUGGAUGGAGUUAGUCCAACUGACUCAAUAACAACAAUAUCAACAGUAGCUGUGGAUGGAGCUAGUCCAACUGACUCAACAACAACAAUAUCAACAGUAGCUGUGGAUGGAGUUAGUCCAACUGACUCAAUAACAACAAUAACAACAGUAGCUGUGGAUGGAGCUAGUCCAACUGACAACAAUAACAACAAUAUCAACAGUAGCUGUGGAUGGAGUUAGUCCAACUGACUCAACAACAACAAUAUCAACAGUAGCUGUGGAUGGAGCUAGUCCAACUGACAACAAUAACAACAGUAGCUGUGGAUGGAGCUAGUCCAACUGACAACAAUAACAACAAUAUCAACAGUAGCUGUGGAUGGAGCUAGUCCAACUGACUCAACAACAACAAUAUCAACAGUAGCUGUGGAUGGAGC
rnacentral:lncRNA from 1 species